rnacentral:lncRNA from 1 species
AGCUUUUUCCCUAGAAUCUCAUUUCAUAUGAUGAACAGAUUCCACAAAAACCAAGACAUUAUUAUCGAUAAUCGAUCUAUUUUCAACAAAAGUGGAUAGCUCAACACAUACCUGUUAAGGAGAGGCUUCAAUCUAUUGGCCAGCACCUUCAAGAUGACUUUACAAAUCACAUUACACGUUACUUUUACUAUUAUCUUUUUUUAGGCAUUUACCAUUCUC